rnacentral:tRNA from 1 species
GGUGGCUCAGUGGUGGAGCUCUUGCCUUGCAUGCAUGAGGCCCUGGGUUCAAUUCCCCAGCACCA